AUGUGUAUGGCUUCUAUAAAUUCUGGAGUCGUUCAUCUUUUGCCCCCUGAUCGUUGCCGUGGCGGAAGCACUUCGGCUCGGCAAGACCUGCUCUUCCCGACGAGAUCUGAAGGUGGCUUUCCAUGGGAGACUUUAACGGAAGUUUCCAUCGCAUGCAACGCGAGUCACGCUCUGACGAGCCACCAAGAGGACCUCCCUUUCAGCCGGGACCCUGGGGCAACGAGCCUUAUCCUAGGUGAGGUAACAACUCUCCUCAUCGAGAUCAUCGAUUUUGGGGGGAAGCACCUCCCUGGAGAGAGAGAGAACAUCAAUAUUACGUGGAUCGUGAGCGGCCCCCGAGCAACUACUACCCUCCUCGCGACUUAUCGGGCCCAGGGUGAUCGUGAUCAUUUUAAAGGAAAUCGUCGGCCAAAAUAUUCGGGCCAAGGUAAAGAUCUUUCACCUUCUGCUGAGACGAGCAAGCCCACAACUCACACACAUUCUGGUAGCAUGGGAGGAACAGGGAAGGAACAACACUCUAAUGAUGCUUCAGAGGGAAAACAAACGCACGUUGAUGGUCCCUCACUGACACCUCAUGCUGCUGCCAGCAGUCAGGAUGCAUAUAAAGAAGAGGGGAUGGAAGUGGAUCCCUUGACGGCUAUCUUUGAUGGAGAUGUGGAGCACUGCAUCAGUGCUGUGGCCACCCACCUCAAACUCAGUAGGGGAACAAAGCUUGUCAUCGAAGCUUCACCAACUUCUGACCCAAAGUGUACAGUACCAACAGCGCCCUCGAAAUUGACGAGGCGUACAUUGCGGAGUGGGGGCGAGCAAAAUAAGCCAUGGGAGCCCCCUGUCAAGAGCACUAGUCCAACGACCUUGGUAAUACUUAAUCCAGUCCUCGACAAGGCUCCUGAUUUUCCCACAAGAACUCUAGCCCAAGAAUUUAUCAAAUCUCUUGAGAAGAGAUGGAGGCGAGAUAGCGCGGCCCAGCUACAAGUGGGGCUGCCUUACAGUGAGAAAUUUUUAAUCUGGGCUAGGAUGAUGUUGAUAGCUGAGGAGGACAGGCAAAUGUUGGAGCGUGCAGGCAUUCUUAGAGGAGUUUUCAGCAUACUUUUCCGCAUCUGCCCAGCUUGGCCGCUCAUUCAAGCCUUUAUUGAUUUCUGGAAUGUUGAUGGUCAUACCUUAAUCAUGAAGGAAAUAUGCCCUAGAGGCAAUAAUAAAGUUAUUAUUUAUUUUUUUAUAUCAUGA
rnacentral:rRNA from 1 species